rnacentral:rRNA from 1 species
CCUACGGGGGGCAGCAGUGAGGAAUAUUGGUCAAUGGCCGUAAGGCUGAACCAGCCAAGUCGCGUGAAGGAAGAAGGUUCUAUGGUUUGUAAACUUCUUUUAUAGGGGAAUAAAGGUAUCCACGUGUGGAUAUUUGCAUGUACCCUAUGAAUAAGCAUCGGCUAACUCCGUGCCAGCAGCCGCGGGAAUACGGAGGAUGCGAGCGUUAUCCGGAUUUAUUGGGUUGAAGGGGUGCGUAGGCUGUUUUUUAAGUCAGCGGUGAAAGUUUGUGGCUCAACCAUAAAAUUGCCGUUGAAACUGGCAGACUUGAGUGUGUGAGAGGUAGGCGGAAUGCGUGGUGUAGCGGUGAAAUGCAUAGAUAUCACGCAGAACUCCGAUUGCGAAGGCAGCUUGCUGAGCCAUAACUGACGCUGAAGCACGAAAGCGUGGGGAUCAAACAGGAUUAGAUACCCCUGUAGUC